GAUGGGGCAUCCACAACUUCUCUGGGCAACCUGUUCCAGUGCCUCACAUUUUCUUGUAGGUAGCGCUGCUUGCAGGAUGAGGGUGCACAGGCCCUGGGGCAGAGGAAAGCACAGAUCAAUUAAUUGGCAAGAUGGACAAUUUCACUUUUAUUCUUUAAAACAGAGCAAGGAAGAAAAGCCACAAAGAAGAAAGAACGAGAGACUUGAGAAAGAGGUAUAAUCCGUAGUUGCAAACCAAAUUAAUUUUUGGGCACCUCAGUGUUUGAGUGCUCUUUUUUCAAUCUUUUCAAAAAUGAACAGUUUCCAGAGAGCACCUGUCCUCCCAGAGUGAUGGUUACCUGAUGUGUCAGCGCCAGCUGAGCAUCUGUCAUCAUUUCUUAUUUUGGGAAAUGUAGGCCCCAUGUGUUUACACUUCUUCAGAUCUCUUUCAAGGAGUUGGCAAAAGGUUUGCAUUUGCAUUGGUCUUACUUGCCUGAAUAGUAUUUCCAUUCUUAUGAUCACCUUUUUUCUCAGUGAGAGGCUGAAUUUCUGGUGUUGUAAUACCCAUCCACAUAAAAAUAAGAGCUCAAUAUAUUUUAAAAGGAAGAUACACUUAAUAAUUUAUGAAGGUAUAAUAUUCUGAGUAAAAAAAACACCAAAGGCCACACACGGAUUUCUCCUCUCCUUCUUUCUCCUACUUUUCUUUUUUUGUUUGUUUGUUUGUUUUCUGGUGCCUGUACAGCUGGAUUUUUGAUAUUAAGAAGCAGCUAAACUUCAUGGAUGGAAGAUACUGAAAGAUAACAACAAUUAAUGUUCAAACAGCCCUAGUGUUUCUAAACACAUUUUUUCCUGUGCAAAUUUACAGUGUGCCCAUGAAACAAAAUGGUGCUGGUUUGCACGACUUGGCAAAUUUAUAAUACAUCAUUUUAAUGACAAACAGGAGAAAUUAAAAGUAUGUGGUCAAAGCAUUUGGAGGAAUACCUCACACUGAAUGUUAAAUUGAGUAGUAGAACCACAACUUCUACUGGCAUAAGGGUCAUCUAGAAAGUCCUGUUGUUGGUGAAGAUGCUGAACAGACAGUCUGAAUGGGAUAUAUGCCUCAUGCUGAAUUGAAUUUUACUAGAGAAAUAUUGACUUGGAUAAACUACAUUGUUGCUGCUUCUAAUUUCAGCCUGUAGCAGCAUCCUUUGUGUGUUUGUAUAAACACUGGUAUAUAGGAUACAUGCUAAGUACAUAUUAGUAUUUGUUAAUUCAUACGGCUUUGUGGUAUUAUGUCUCGCAGUUAGCUGAGACAUGUUCCCACCCUAAAUCAAUUCCCAAACAAAAAAAUAAUUGAGGGUACUUAAAAACUAGUUGGAAGUGGGUGAUCAGACUCUUCAAUUAAUUAGGAAAAAACCAAAGAGAUGAUGAAGUGUGUGCUGCAGAAUCACAAGUGACUGUACCAACUAAGCUCAAAUCAACAAACAGCUAAUAAUAUCACAUAAUUACCUACAAGGUACUCUUGAAAGACAAGAGGAGCACAAAGUAUCUACUACUUUCAAAACAGAAGGAACUGAAACUGUGGAAGAUACUUGAAUACUUCAGGACCUGGACUGGGUGCUGGACUGUGACACACAGACAGGCACAUGGACACGCACUGGCAAAGGUGAUGUGAAGGGGUUCAACUCUGCUAGUGGUUUCUGGCUUCUCAGAAGACUUGGGGCUCUCCAUAA